GACGAACGCUGGCGGCGUGCCUAAUACAUGCAAGUAGGACGCAGUUGCGAACGGGGGAGUAACGCGUAGGUAUCCACCCAUUAGAGGGGGUUAACUAUUUGAGACGAUAGCUAAUACCGCAUACUAGUUGAUGGACCUGCGUUGUAUUAGCUAGUAGGUAGGGUAAGGGCCUACCUAGGCAACGAUACAUAGCCGACCGGGGUGGGUGAUCGGGCACACUGGGAGUGAGACAAGGGCCAGAAUCCUUCGGGAGGGAGCAGUGAGGAAUCUUCGGCAAAGGGGGGAACCCUGACCGAGCAACGCCGCCGGAGUGAAGAAAGUUUUCGGAUCGUAAAGCUCUGGUGUUAAGAAAGCGGUACUUAACCAGAAAGGGACGGCUAACUACGUGCCAGCAGCCGCGGUAAUAC
rnacentral:rRNA from 1 species